GUCUAGUUAGCUCGAUUGUUAGAGCAUCUGCCUUGUAAGCGCCCGGCCGCGGGUUCGAUUCCCGCCCGGGGCG
rnacentral:tRNA from 1 species